ensembl:snRNA U6 U6 spliceosomal RNA
GUGUUCACUUUGGAAGCACAUAUACUAAAGUUGGAGCAAUAGAGAUUAGCAUGACCCCUGAGCAAGGAUCACACACAAAUUCUUGAAGCAGUCCAGAUUUAA